rnacentral:rRNA from 1 species
UGGGGAAUUUUGGACAAUGGACGCAAGUCUGAUCCAGCCAUGCCGCGUGCGGGAAGAAGGCCUUCGGGUUGUAAACCGCUUUUGUCAGGGAAGAAACGAGUUUCUCUAAUACAGAGACUUAAUGACGGUACCUGAAGAAUAAGCACCGGCUAACUACGUGCCAGCAGCCGCGGUAAUACGUAGGGUGCAAGCGUUAAUCGGAAUUACUGGGCGUAAAGCGUGCGCAGGCGGUUAUAUAAGACAGAUGUGAAAUCCCCGGGCUCAACCUGGGACCUGCAUUUGUGACUGUAUAGCUAGAGUACGGCAGAGGGGGAUGGAAUUCCGCGUGUAGCAGUGAAAUGCGUAGAUAUGCGGAGGAACACCGAUGGCGAAGGCAAUCCCCUGGACCUGUACUGACGCUCAUGCACGAAAGCGUGGGGAGCAAACA